rnacentral:lncRNA from 1 species
GAAACGAACUAAAAAGUAAACAGCCAAAGAGAAAAUUGGAGGAUUCUAAAGACCUUAUAUGUGAUGAUCCGAGGAUAACACGCAAAACUGAUCAUCACUCCCUUUUCAUGCCAAUCGAAGUUCAAGUGCACAAUUGAAGAUCCAGUUAUCAAAUUUAAAUGCUACUGCUGUUUACAUUUAGGAGGCCUCUCACCUUGCUGAUCGUUCCCAGUUUGUGCCCUUCCACUCUUCUACAGAAUAGAAGACCAACAAGAUUUCUCAACCGCGUCAAGAAAAGGCAAGAGAGGGGCAGAGAGAGAGAGAGAGAGUGCAAAGCAUGAUGGAACCAAGAAUUAUAUGAUGUGAAAAGCAUACGUAAAAUACACUGUUCACAUUACAAUCUUUCUAUUCUUGGUUUCAUUUUCAUCCUUAUCUUCUUCCUCAUCCUUCUUGAAAUAGUUUAGAUGCAACUCCGUGUCUUCUAGGAAGGAAAAUGGUGUCUUUACUUCUUUGUUGAUCCUGCAAAAAAGAGGUUGGGACUUCCUACCCCGUUUUACCUCCGGCGUGAGAAUUAGUGAUUGUUUUUAGAUAAAAAGAAUUUUAACGAAUAGUGAAAAUGUAAGAAGAAAGAAUUUUUUUUAAAGAAAAUCUUCUCCAUACCUGGCAUGCUUAUGGGGUAUUUAUAGGCGUCUGGCACCACGUAACUGUCGAGCAAUUGCCAUCCACGUGCCCCAUGUGACAUGCCCACUCCUCAGACGAUUUUCGCCCACCUGUUAAGCGGUUACCUUCCGCCCACUACUUGAAUGGUGGGUUUAAUGAGUAACCAUACUCAUCAAUUCCAAUGAUGUUUGGGUAGUUUAGAUAGUAAUGGUUGGUCCACUCCUGGCAGUAGUAAGACUAGCAUAGCAGUAAGUACCCUAUCAUGGCGAAAGUCACCUAAUAUAUUGGGAAUCGUCUUUACCCUAUGGGCAAGCAAGCAUAGCAUCAGUUAAAUUAGCAUAACAGUAGUCACCAUAUCGUGAUAGACGCUACCUAACAUAGCGGGGUCGUCCGACAUAAUGGGAGCUAUCCUCUCUCUAUCGGCCUUCAUAGUUCAUUAUUUGAACCGCAUAGCAUCACUAGCCCUCAUAGCGCUUGUUGAUUUUUAUCGUCAAGAGGUAGAGUUGUUGAAUUAUAUCGCAACUUUUAUUUUAUAUUUCUUUAUUUAUUAUUUUAUUAUUGCGAAUAGAUUGAAUUUAUUGCGUAGUCGAAAAUUUUAUGAUAAUCUAUAAGUAAAUCAGCUCAUGGGCCUGAGGUUUUUGCUAACACUGGAAUUUUUCUAUAUAAAGGGAAUAGAGUCUCAUUUUUUGUCCUUCACAUCUUCUUCUCUUUUGUAAACCCUAAGUGUUUUUCUCUCCAUCUUCAUUCUCAAGGUAAUCUCCUUGUUCCACUCUUAUUUUUUCAUGGAAUUCUAGUAGCUCUUCAUAAUUUCUCGAUGUAUAAGAUUGUUCUGUCAUCUUCAUCAUCUUCUAGUCCAGAACAUUCUAAAUCAUCCUAUUGGACAUCAAGUGGGCAUGAGAGUAGAUCUGAGAAUGAGAGUGGAAAAGGAUCGGACAGUCGGGCUGGUCAGUUGACCGAUCUCAUUGGUCGACCUGGUCAGGCGACCAACAGACCCAGUUGGUAGACAUGGUCGAUCAAUAGACCAGGUUGACUAGCCCGGUCUGGCGGUUGGCCGUCGAUCAAUCAGCUAGUCGAGGUCAUAGGGUCAAUCGGUCCCCUAGUGCUGUUGACGGUCUUCCUAACCUUUUUGACCCUUCUAUUUUUGUUCCAUGUUCCCAUAAAAUUUAUAUUGGUUCUUUCAGGUCUUCAACUUUUAACUUUGAAAUUGGUUGGGACCCGAUGGGGAGAGUUGCAGUCCUCAAUAUCCCAAAGGGACUUAGUUCUUAAAACUGUCUAACCAAGUUAGACCAACUGCUCGAUAGGUACACGCCGUUGAUGAUUAUAUAUAUAGAGACCUCAGGCCCAAAAAAGAGCUUCCCCAAUCAGACCCUCGCGAAAUUACCUAUAAAGAUUAUUUUAAUCAAGGUUUGAGGUUCCCUCUUCAUCCUUUCUUUGUCUCAAUUUUCAAUGAACUCCAUCUCACUCCAAGUCAAAUAAAUCCAAAUGCAUGGAAAAAAGCACUAUACUUUUUGUACCUUUGUUUUAGUGAAAAGAUUGUGCUCUCCAUAGAGUUGUUCAAGUAUGUGUUCGAGUUGCAUAAUUUACCCCAUACAAUGCAUUCAUCUAUUUUACUACCAGGGUUUCUCUUCAUAUCCCUAAAUAUAUAAAUUCCAAUAGUGGGUAGAAAUCUCGAUUAUUCUUCGUUCGGCCUCCUGAAGAUUGAUUUUCGUUAAAAUACUUAUUGGAGAAUUUCCUAAAUUUGUCUUUUCAAUAGUUUUGUUGAGCCUACUCUUCUUUUGAGUUCUCAAAUCCAACAACUGACUUGCAUACUACUUCUUGUACCCCUCAUUUCUCAAGUUUUAACAAUAAGGAAGAUGUUGAUAUUGGCGAUUGGUCGACCUGUUGGUAGGUCCUUAUUUAUAGCUCUUGAUUCUCGUACUGUAUUUUUCUUCAAUAACUAGCCUUUGUUCCUGACUUGCUUGGUUGUAUGUAUGCAGGUAUGUACUUCGACUUGGAAGGAGUUUUGAGCUCAAUACCUAAGGUUGAGCUUGAGAGCGACGAAGGGUUGCUCAUGCUCCCCUCUCCCCAAAAAGAGAAAAGUCACGAAUAAGAAAAAAGGAAAGAUCACCGACAAGGGACCUCCUUCACCAUUGGAGGAGCCCAUGGGAGGUGUCCAACCAUAUGAAGAGAAGAAAACUCGAGUCCUAAUGAGUUUAGGUUUGAGAAUGAUGGUUCUCCACUUCUAGAUUUUAGGUUUCUUCUUACCCGAGGUGCAUACAAAGUUGAGAUGGUCGAUGCUUUUAUUAGGUUUGAUCAUGCCAGAGCUUUGUUUGGACGUAGAGUGAAUGAUGUAGAAAGGGUCCUGGCAUAUUACAAUAGAAGGGUAUCCUCCACUCUCUAUUCCUUCAUUUUCAUUUAUAUUCAUACCUCUGAGUUCAUAUGACAAUUGUACUUUUUUUUUACUAUUUGUCCGACGUUUUGACGAUGCAAGCUUCACUCAUCGGGGCGAGUCGCCUUCUAACUGCUAAGUUAAAAGAUCUUAAGAAAGAGAAGGACAAGGAAGUGAUCAACCUCAAGGGGGACAACUUAGACUUAAAGAAAUCCCUCGAUGUCGUGGAGGCUUAGAAGAAGGGGAUAGAGUCUCAAAUCAGUAAACAAGAGAGAAAUUGACAACUUGCGCUCCUCCUUGGCUCGUGCUCAAAUCAAUGAAGUAGAUCGUUAUAAGGCCUCUUUGGAGUAUGUUAAGAAUGUGAAUGACUACGGGGCAAAAACAAUGGAGGUCUCUAUUGCCCUUACCAAAGAGUGGUGGUGGCUGAGCAUCUAUCCAUUGAUCUCUCUAACUAUGAAUGAUUUUAUUGCAACGUAGAGAUAAAGAAAAUCAGCUAAGCAGACCAAGACAUUUAGACACACCAACGUACUACGUAGAGGAAGCAAAGGAAGUUCGCACCCAGAGUGACUUAAUUUUUUAUUAUUUGCUUGAGUCUUUCGAUGUUAUCCCUUUUUGUCAUUUGGCUAUUCUAUAGUUUUUUUUCUUGGUUUGAGAUGUGGACAGGAUAUUAUGCUUUGCAUCCAUUAUUAUUGAGUCCACGUUCAGAAAAUGACUUUUAUACAUCAUGCGUUCAUUUUUA